rnacentral:ncRNA from 1 species
UGACAAGGGGAGCUUGUGUUGCAGGCUGAGAGGAAGUUUUAAGCUUCGACCCGUAACCUGAUUUGGAUAAUGCCAACGUAGGGAUAUACAUAUGU